CCGUUAUAACCGGCGAUUUCCGAAUGGGGAAACCCAGUGUGACUCGUCACACUAUCAUUAACUGAAUCCAUAGGUUAAUGAGGCGAACCGGGGGAACUGAAACAUCUAAGUACCCCGAGGAAAAGAAAUCAACCGAGAUUCCCCCAGUAGCGGCGAGCGAACGGGGAGGAGCCCAGAGCCUGAAUCAGCAUGUGUGUUAGUGGAAGCGUCUGGAAAGGCGCGCGAUACAGGGUGACAGCCCCGUACACAAAAGCGCAUGUGCUGUGAGCUCGAUGAGUAGGGCGGGACACGUGGUAUCCUGUCUGAAUAUGGGGGGACCAUCCUCCAAGGCUAAAUACUCCUGACUGACCGAUAGUGAACCAGUACCGUGAGGGAAAGGCGAAAAGAACCCCGGCGAGGGGAGUGAAAAAGAACCUGAAACCGUGUACGUACAAGCAGUGGGAGCACCCUUUGGGGUGUGACUGCGUACCUUUUGUAUAAUGGGUCAGCGACUUAUAUUCUGUAGCAAGGUUAACCGAAUAGGGGAGCCGGAGGGAAACCGAGUCUUAACCGGGCGUUAAGUUGCAGGGUAUAGACCCGAAACCCGGUGAUCUAGCCAUGGGCAGGUUGAAGGUUGGGUAACACUAACUGGAGGACCGAACCGACUAAUGUUGAAAAAUUAGCGGAUGACCUGUGGCUGGGGGUGAAAGGCCAAUCAAACCGGGAGAUAGCUGGUUCUCCCCGAAAGCUAUUUAGGUAGCGCCUCGUGAAUUCAUCUCCGGGGGUAGAGCACUGUUUCGGCUAGGGGGCCAUCCCGGCUUACCAACCCGAUGCAAACUGCGAAUACCGGAGAAUGUUAUCACGGGAGACACACGGCGGGUGCUAACGUCCGUCGUGAAGAGGGAAACAACCCAGACCGCCAGCUAAGGUCCCAAAGUCAUGGUUAAGUGGGAAACGAUGUGGGAAGGCCCAGACAGCCAGGAUGUUGGCUUAGAAGCAGCCAUCAUUUAAAGAAAGCGUAAUAGCUCACUGGUCGAGUCGGCCUGCGCGGAAGAUGUAACGGGGCUAAACCAU
rnacentral:rRNA from 1 species